AGGACGAACGCUGGCGGCGUGCUUAACACAUGCAAGUCGAGCGGAAAGGCCCUUCGGGGUACUCGAGCGGCGAACGGGUGAGUAACACGUGAGCAACCUGCCCUUAGCUUCGGGAUAGCUCCGGGAAACCGGAAUUAAUACCGAAUAUGACUGCGGCUGACAUCAGCCACGGUGGAAAGUUUUUCGGCCAGGGAUGGGCUCGCGGCCUAUCAGCUUGUUGGGGGGGUAACGCCCACCAAGGCGACGACGGGUA
rnacentral:rRNA from 1 species